GUUAAUUCCUUAAAAAUUAAUAAAUAUUAGAAUUGAAAGGAAAUAUAGAUGCUUAUCGUUCAUUAUUAGUUUAUUAUUCAUUAUUAGUUUAUUAUUUAUAUUUCUUUUUAUAUUUUAUUCAAUUUUAAGAAUUAAGAUUAAGAGUAAGAGGUAAAGUAACCCUAUGAUAAAGAAGAGAAAAAAGAACCAUAUGAAGCAUCCGCUUCAGGGUUCAGGGUUCAUGGGCGAAUGACGGGAAUUGAAGAAUAAUUGAUCAGAUUCGUGGACGUUCCUAUGAGGCACUUGGCUACAUCCGCCCCUAAUACUCUAUUUACAAAUUAUCCCAUUUUUAAUUGGUUUAUUCCGCAGCAGCCAAUGCUAGUCACAAUAUGGGUUUGACGAAGCCAGUUUAGUCAUUAGCAAAGCCGAAGUCAACGAAGGUGCUACUAUGAAAAAAUUUAAACCUCGGGCUCGAGGACGAAGUUAUCUGAUAAAAAGACAGACUUGCCAUAUAAGUAUUGUAUGGAGGAUAUAUCAUAUGAAGAAUAUGAAGAAGAUUUCUACGAAGAAUAUGAAAAAUAUAACAUAUACUAAAAAAACCGAGACGUAUAAGGAUAAAUAAACUAAGUACACACAUAUGACAUUUGAUGAUAUAUAUACUAGUGGGGGAUUAUGGGACAAAAAUAAAUCCACUUGGUUUCAGACUUGGUACAACCCAAGAUCAUUAUUCUCUUUGGUUGCACAACCAAAAAAUUUUUUGAGGGUCUGCAAGAAGAUCAAAAAUAAGAAAUUGUAUCAAAAAUUAUGUACAAAAAAAUAUGAAAUUUCUUCUGGUGUUGAAGGAAUGGACAUAUAGAGAUCAAAAACGAAUCGAUGUGAUUCAAGUUAUAAUCUACUUAGGAUUCCCAAAAUCUUCUUAUGCGAGAUAAAGUAACCCUUUAUUAUCUUACAGAUAAAUGUACAAAAAGAACUUAAUUGUAUGAACCGAAACUCAACAUUUCUAUUACAAGAAUUGAAAACCCUUACAUGCACCCGAAUGUUCUGCAGAAUUUAUAGCCGGACAAUAAAGAAUCGAGUUUCAUUUCGCAAAGCAAUGAAAAAGGCUAUUGAAUUAACUGAGCAGAGCAAUACAAAAGGAAUUCAGUACAAAUUGCAGGGCGUCUUGAUGGAAAAGAAAUGCACGCGCCGAAUGGGUUAGAGAGGGCAGGUUCCUCUACAAACUCUUCGAGCUAAAAUAAUUAUUGUUCUUAUACAGUUAGAACUAUUUAUGGGGUCUUAGGUAUAAAAUUUGGAUAUUUGUAGACGAGGAAUAGUAAACCCUUACUUAACUUGUCUUUACAUUCUAUUCAUUGAUAGAACAAAAAUGACAAAUUCUUUCAUUCUUUUUUUUUUGGCCAAAAAAAAAAACAAAAAAAAAAAGAAUGAAAGAAUCUAAUUCUAUAAGUCUAAUUCUAUAAGGUUGAAUAAAAUAAAAAAUUCGAUUGAUUAUUUAAUAUGCUAUGCUUAGUGUGUGACUCGUUGGUUUUCAAAGGUCAAAAUAAAAAAAAAAAACAGACCAAUGCAUACUAUGAACUAAUGAAUUAAUAAGUAUAAAUAGAAUUUAUAACCAACUCAUCGCUUCCAUUAUCUGGAUCUGGAUCAAAAAAAGUAGUCAAAGUCAAGAUAGAAUCUAUUGGUCAUUUCAUUGUAGCAAUUGAAUCUUUUUUUGCAUAAAUAAACUAAAAACCAAUCUGAUUAUGAAUUGUAAAGCAAAAUAAAAAUUAUGCAGAUAAAUGGAAGGAUGAGAGAAAGAGAGAAAAAGAAUAUCAAUGAUAUAGGAUCCAAUAUGUGUAAGGUCUAUAGGUCAUAUCAUAAAAGCCAAUGUAUAAAGCAUCAAUAUCGAUUGAUUCAUAAUUAAAUGAUCCCAUUCAUAGAACAAAAAAAUCAAGAGCCUCGGGCCAAUAAAGACUAAGAACAUUGACUCAAAAACAAAUUCAUUAGGGAGGGGCUCCAUUGUAUAAUUAAGACCUAACCAUUAAUCGAAAAGCGAUGGGAACGAUGGAACCUAUGAAUAUAUAAGAUUUUAUGAAAAUGAAUCUUAUGAUUUAUUGGGUAGGAUGGCGAAACGAACCAAGAGACAAUCCAUUAUUCUGAGAGGUCAUGGGUAACCCUACAAAUGAAGUAAAUAUGAAAGAGUAAAUAUUCGCCCGCGAAGAUUUUAUUUUAUAUUAUUUGAUUUCUAAAUUUAAGCGAUCUGAUCUAAUAAUCAUAAUAAAUACAGACUUGUUAUAAGAUUAAAAGAACAUUAUCUAAAAAUAGACUAAAACUAAAAAUAGAAAUAAUUAUCUAUAAAUUUAGAAUUCUCUAUGAAUUUCUAUAUACUAUAUAGAAAUAGAAUACAUAAUUAUCUAUAUAAGUACAUAAUUAUCUAUAUAAGAUAGACAAAUAAAAAAUAUACAAAUUUCUAAUCUAAUAAAUAGAUUAAGUGAAAUAUCAAUAUCUAUGUAUAUUUUCUUUUUAUCAUAAUCAAUCAUAAUCAUUUCAUUCGCGAGGAGCUGGAUGAGAAGAACUCUCAUGUCCGGUUCUGCAGUAGAGAUGGAAUUGCGAAACAACCAUCAACUAUACCCCAAAAGAACCAGAUUCCGUAAACAACAUAGAGGAAGAAUGAAAGGAUAUCUUCUCGAGGCAUCGUAUUUGUUCGGUAGAUAUGCUCUUCAGGCACUUGAACCCGCUUGGAUUACGUCUAGACAAAUAGAAGCAGGGCGUCGGGCAAUGACACGAAAUGUACGCCGCGGUGGAAAAUAUGGGUACGUAUCUUUCCCGACAACCAGUUACCCUAAGACCCUCGGAAACACGUAUGGGUUCGGGAAGGGAUCUCCCGAAUAUUGGGUAGCUGUCGUUAAACCGGGUAGAAUGAUUUAUGAAAUGGGCGGGGUAGCAGAAAAUAUAGCCAGAAAGGCUAUUUCAUAGCAGCGUCCAAAAUGCCUAUACGAACUCAAUUCAUUAUUUGAGAUAGGAAUACAGAACUAAAAGAAAAAGGCUUUGUUAGGAAAAAAUUCGCAAGUUUCUUUUUUUUUUUUUGUUUUGGACAACAAUAUUUCUUUUUUUUGCCCCUUUCCAUGAAAUAACAGAUAAAAAAAAGAAUAUGAUCCAAUCUCAGACCCAUUUGAAUGUAGCAGAUAAUAGCGGAGCUCGAGAAUUGAUGUGUAUUCGAAUCAUAGGAACUAGUAAUCGCCGAUAUGCUCAUAUCGGCGACAUUAUUAUUGCUGUGAUCAAGGAAGCAGUCCCCAAUUCACCUCUAGAAAGAUCUGAAGUGAUCAGAGCUGUAAUUGUGCGUACUUCUAAAGAACUCAAACGCGACAACGGUAUGAUAAUACGAUAUGAUGACAACGCUGCAGUUGUAAUGAUCAAGAAGGAAAUCCAAAGGGAACUCGAAUUUUUGGUGCAUCGCUCGGGAAUUGAGACAGUUAAAUUUCACUAAAAUAGUUUCAUUAGCACCUGAAGUAUAUAAAAUAAAGCAUUAUAAGAACAUUAUAAGAUAUAAGAUGAGAUAUAAACCAUAAUUUAUAAUAUUUGAUAUUGAACGAAAUCAAUUAAAUUAAAAUAAUUAGUAGAUUGUGUUCACGCAUAUACCUUUAAUAAAAAUGAAUAUUUAAUAAAAAUAAAAUAAUUAAUUCAUAAAAAAAAAAAAUGAAAACAAAGUAUGUUGAUUAUAUCAAAAUUACGAGGCACAAAAAUUUUAGUUUAUCAUGGGUAGGGACACUCUUGCUGACAUAAUAACCUCUAUACGAAAUGCGGACAUGGAUAGAAAAGGAACCGUUCGAAUACCAUCUACUAACAUCACCGAAACAUUAUUAAAAUACUUUUACGAGAAGGUUUUAUGAAAAUGUGAGGAAACACAGGAAGGCAAUUUUUUUUUUUUUGCUUUACCCUACGACAUAGAAGAAAUAGGAAAGGACAUGUCGAACGAGUCUAAAUUUAAAACGCAUCAGUCGCCCUGUCUACGAAUCUAUUCUAACUAUCAACAAAUUCCGAGAAUUUUAGGUGGAAUGGGGAUUGUAAUCUUUCUACUUCUCGGGGUAUAAUGACAGACCGAGAGGCUCGACUAGAAAGAUCGGUGGAGAAUUUUGUGUUAUAUAUGGUAUCUUUUCGAUAUCCAAAUUGUAUCCGAACUUCCCCUAUUGUGAAAAAAAAAGUAAAGAACAGAUUUCUAAUAUCAUCCUCCUACAUUAGAUUAGCUGAUAUUUCAGAGGCUUUUAGAUAGAAAAAAAAAAGGGAUCAGAAAGGUUUAAUUUCUUAAUAACUUUCCAAUAAUAUGUUAGGGAUUCGUUUAGAUUAGAUAAUGAAGAUAUGGUUUUAGAUUAUGCUUCAGAAAAGCCUGACGCGAUUUAUACGUAUACCAUCAGGAGAUAGAGUCAAAUAGAAGUAAGUGCUUAUGAUUCGACCAGAAAACGUCUAAUUUAUAGACUCCCCAACAAAAAUUCGAAUGAUUAGGUAAUUUUUCAACUUCACAUUUCUUUUAUUUUUUAUAUUUUAUAGGAAUACAAUUUACGAUUUCAAAAUUUACGAAACUUUUUUUCUUCACAAAAGUAUGUAUAUUCAAAAUUAAGGAAUGAAAAAUAUGAAGAUAAGGGCUCCGCUCGUAAAAUUUGUGAAAAUGUCGACUAAUACGUCGACGGGGACGAAUUCUAAUAAUUGCUCCAACCCGAGACAUAAACAAAGACAAGGAUAAUUUUCUAAGCGGAGACUCUCUAAAGGAUCCGAUAUACAAAUAAUCUAUUUGACACGAAAUGGAUAUAUCCAUAGACCUCAGACUUCAUUUUUGAGAUGAUAAAAUAUGGCAAACUUUUACCAAGAAUUGUUCCCGCAAGAAUGGACGUAUUAGUUCACGUAAAAAUGCACGUAAAAUUCCUAAGGGAGUUAUUCAUGUCCAAGCAAGUUUCACAAUACUAUUGUGACCGUUACAGAUGUACGAGGUCGGGUGAUCUCUUGGUCCUCGCAGGCGCUUGGGAUUCAGGGGCACAAGAAGAGGGACGCCAUUU
rnacentral:lncRNA from 1 species